rnacentral:rRNA from 1 species
UGGGUAGUCCGCACGAGCGCACCCUGUCCUUAGUUGCCAGCACAUAAUGGUGGGGACUCUAAGGAGACUGCCUGGGAUAACCAGGAGGAAGGUGGGGAUGAUGUCAAGUCAGUAUGUCCCUUAUGUCCAGGGCUACACACGUGUUACAAUGGCCGGUACAAUGGGCUGCAAUCCCGCGAGGGCAAGCUAAUCCCAAAAAACCGGCCCCAGUUCAGAUUGGAGUCUGCAACUCGACUCCAUGAAGGAGGAAUCGCUAGUAAUCGCGCAUCAGCACGGCGCGGUGAAUACGUUCCCGGGUCUUGUACACACCGCCCGUCAAGCCAUGGAAGUCGGCAGUACCCGACGUCAGUGUCCUAACCUUCGGGAAGGAGCUGCUUAAGGUGAGAUUGGUAACUGGGGCGAAGUCGUAACAAGGUAGCCGUACCGGAAGGUGCGGCUGGAUCACCUCCUUUCU